AUCUCAUUGUCUAAAUCAAACACCAUUUUUCUCUUAACUUUUGAUUUGGAAGUCCGAAUUUGAUUCCGCUUUCGUGGGGAAGAGUACUACAAAUCUCAGGUAAUAAUUUAUGGAUUUGCUGCAGAUUUUGAAAGAUGCCAUUUUUGGGAUUUAUUCCUACACAAGCUUUAAUCUUCAAAUUUAAAUGUUGUUUAUGGUGGAUUAAGCUUAUUGGAAGCUUAACUGAACGAAUUGAGGUUAAUUUCUACAUGGGCUAGCUGCUGCAAACUCUAGAAUUAUUUCAUGGUUUUUAAACCUUGGUAUUGUGGCUGUUACGAAAUUAAGGGAACAUAGUGAACUUGAAUGGUGAUUUGGUACGUAGAGAUCAUGAUAAUGGGUUUGGACAUGUUUUGGAUUGAAAGACAGGAGGAACCAAUCUGGAAAAUAGCCAUGAAUAUCACUAUUCACGCUGCAGGGACCAAACUGAAAUACAAGUUUCAGAUUCGGGACAGUUUUGUUAUUACCCGAAGGUCUGGGACAACUGUGAUUUUAGAAUUGUUUUGGAGGCAGAUGCUUGCAGGCAACAUGUAUAUAAUUGAGAAAUUUGUGAGGACCCAAAUAAGAAAGAAAAAUGUUUUAAGGGUCCAACUAAGAUAAGGUGAUGUUAAGCCUAAUAUCGGAAUUCUAAAAUAAAGGAGUUUAUAUUGGUGGUUUUAGAUAUAGAGAUUAUACAGUGAUAUAGUUUAUUUGUUGGAUCAGGAACUCCAGUUACCACGACGGUUGUUUUUAAUCGAGGCCUUGGUAAGGGACAUUGUUUGCUUGCUUUGGAAUCCAGGUAGGGGAAAUACGGCAGACUUUUACAGAUAUUGAUUCUAUUAAAUUUCGUGAAGUACUAUAUUUGUGUUGGUUGAUUAAUGUGGUUGGACAUUGUUUGGAUUAUUGCUUCAGUUGGUUGUUUAUUUGUUAGUUCUACUGGAAUGUUAUUCGUUGAGAUAUAUUGUGAAAUAGAGAUAUAUUGUGAUAUGUGAAAGAUGUAAUAACGUUACUUGUGCAUCACUCAUGUGUCAGAAGUGGUUGGAACUUUGUUGGUGGGAAAAGAAUUUGGAAAGAGGGUAAUGGAAAUGAUAUUUUGUGUAGUUGAGCCAAACUCUUAGCAGGUACCAAGUCUCAAGUGAGCCCACAGUGCACAGAUUCUUUAAGGGUAAUUCGGGACUGGCGACGAAGGGUUUUGGCAAGAUGACUAACAAAAGGGGAAAUUGGGAUGAUUGAGUUACAGGGGGUUAAUUUGUAUAUUAAAACAUUUGAACCAUCACUGCAGAGGUAAAAUGCACGGUAUGAGACGUGCAGGUCCGCGUGUUUUAUUAUAUGAAUUAACGGGUAAAGAUGAAGAGUAUUGUAUCGCACUCAUGCAUUGUUGAUGAUAAUGAUUUGGUACUUGAUUACAUGAUUUUAUUACACUUAAUUUAAUAUUGUCAAUUUAAUGUGGUAAGGUUAUGUCCCUACUGAGCUGUUGAAGCUCACCCCUCUAUUGCUAUGCAG
rnacentral:lncRNA from 1 species